GGCGAACGGGUGAGUAAUAUAUCGGAACAUGUCCAUUCCGUGGGGGAUAGCCCGGCGAAAGCCGGAUUAAUACCGCAUACGCCCUGAGGGGGAAAGCGGGGGACUUCGCAAGAGGCCUCGCGCGAAUGGGUUGGCCGAUGUCCGAUUAGCUAGUUGGUGGGGUAAAGGCUUACCAAGGCGAUGAUCGGUAGCUGGUCUGAGAGGAUGAUCAGCCACACUGGGACUGAGACACGGCCCAGACUCCAAUACGGGAGGCAGCAGUGGGGAAUAUUGGGCAAUGGGCGAAAGCCUGACCCAGCCACGCCGCGUGAGUGAUGAAGGCCUUCGGGUCGUAAAGCUCUGUGGGGAGGGACGAAUAAGUGCCGUGCUAACAUCACGGCGCCCUGACGGUACCUCCUUAGCAAGCACCGGCUAACCAUGUGCCAGCCGCCGCGG
rnacentral:rRNA from 1 species